GACAGGUGCUGCAUUCAACCUGCUGUGCACAGAGAGGGACAAGAUUGUCAUGGAAAAAAUUGAGCGCCAUUUCAAUAGCGUUGUUCGUGAGGUGCCUAAUUGGCGAAGCGACGAGGACUUUGAGGCUGCCCUUAAAGAUGCAGGCCUGCUUUAGAUCAGAGAAACUCGACUAUAUAUAUUUAUAUGAGAGGCAUCAGAUCAUAGCAAUGUGCAUAAUAGUUGCUUCUGGCAAGCUAUUUACCAUUCUUUCUUUGGGUCUUGGUGUGAAAUUUAUACUUCUUGGGC